UUGACUGAUGUUAUUUUUGAGUUCCAGGAAUCAACGGAGACGCUCAUAAAAUCUAGCUAACCAUUGCUUAGUUUACUAAAUUGAUUAGCUAGCUACGCACAAUUUCAUCGUAAUAGGAAUUGGAUAGGCAUUUGCAAGCUAGUUACAUUAGCCAGCAUAACAUGUAUGUCGUAGUGAAUUAUACACGAAAGUUACAGACCCUAGCAUUUAAUCUAGGGCCUUCGUGCUACCGCCAAGGUGUCACAGGAGUUUCCAUAACGUCGCAGGACCGAAAAUCCAAGCAAAACUUUAGCUGCUUUCGUUGGACUCAUCUGAUAACUUUAGUACAUCAAUACAGUACCCGAAUUUACAACUCUAAGGUGCCCAGGGUAGCAACAUGGGAGCCUGUAUUGGAGAACCAGCUACCCCCAGCUUGCCAAGUUCCUGUAGACCUUGUUGACAAAUUGGAGAGACUAGCCCUGGUUGAUUUCCGCAACCAGGAGGGGCUGGCCUGUCUGGAGAAAGCCAUCCGAUUUGCAGAUCAGCUCCAUGUUGUUGACACAGAUGGGGUUGACCCAAUGGAUUCAGUUCUGGAGGAAAGGGCACUGUAUCUGAGGGAGGAUGCCGUGGCAGAGGGGAACUGUGCAGAGGAACUGCUCCAGCUCUCCAAAAACACAGUGGAGGAGUACUUUGUGGCACCGCCAGGUAACAUUCCACUACCGAAGAGAGAGGAGAGAGCUGCCAUGUUGAAGCACUCAGAGAUCUGAGUCAAAGUAGACUAUCGGUAGUGACGAGGGGGUGGGCUGCGGCUUGAUGGGCUACGGUGUGCUGCAGAGGAGCGACGUGGAGGGGGGCUAUGGCGAGACAAUCUGCGAGCAGGGGGUGACUGAUAACGAGGGGGUGGAGAGCCGCGACCUUGAUAAGCGGGCGCCGCAUGGCAUACUCCAUGUCCUCUCUGCGCAGGAACUCCACCACCCCUUCCCCAUCCCGCUGAACAUCUGUGAAACAAACAUCUCCAGCCUCCCUCAUGUGAUCUUUCAAGUCUUGCCAGCUCCCAGUCGGAGGCAGGCCUGUGGGAACAGAGAGCAAACCAUUGAGAACUUUGGCCUUUAUAGGCAACGCCCAACAAUACCAGUGUACAUCUAACCUGCUGUAAAUGGAAGGAAGAGAGGAGCUUUGAAUUAAAAAAACAAAAACAAAAGCAGACUUUAUCCACUUACCAGUCACAAUAACUCUGAACUCUGAUCUCCGAGUAGGAGGCCCAAACCUCCCUUUAGGACCACCGGGACCUCCGUCCCCACUCCCUCGACCACUACCACCCAUAGAACCGUUGAAUUUAGAGGAGGCAGAGCGAGGGUGCUCAACGCGAAGCUUGCAGUCUCCAAAUCCAUAACCAUUCCUCCCAUAGACUGCAUCCUCGGCAUCCCUGAUACAUAAGGACAUGUCAAUUUGAUUAACACAUUGCAUAUGGGAGUCCGUCUAUUUAUCUAUCUUAGCACCCCAAUGGUGGAACGAGCUUCCCCCUAACGUCAGGACAGCAGAGUCCGUGCUCAUCUUCCGAAAAUGUCUGAAACCCUACCUCUUCAAAAAGUAUCUUACAUAAACUAGAUAGACUUUUCCACUUCACAAUAACAGCACUUACAGUUGAAGAGGGCAGCUAAGUCCCUGCUAGAGCAGCCCCGGUCAACUGUAUGUGCUGUUAUUGUGAAGUGGAAACAAUAGGUCGAUCUAUGAGUGGAAGGGGAGAGAGGGGUAGAGGUGUUUGUGGGGGAGGGAUGGGGUGAGUAUGCAUCUGUUGACUGACAAAAACAGAUUUUGCUUAUAUUAUUACGCACAAUUCAUCAACUGUGGGAAUGAAUUAAGAUAUAUAGUACCAGUCAAAAGUUGACACCUACUCAUUCCAAGGUUUUAAUUUAUUUGUACUAUUUUCUACAUUGUAGAAUAAUAGUGAAGACAUCAAAAC